UACGAAGGGGGCUAGCGUUGCUCGGAAUCACUGGGCGUAAAGCGCACGUAGGCGGAUCUUUAAGUCAGGGGUGAAAUCCUGGAGCUCAACUCCAGAACUGCCCUUGAUACUGGAGAGCUUGAGUCCGGGAGAGGUGAGUGGAACUCCGAGUGUAGAGGUGAAAUUCGUAGAUAUUCGGAAGAACACCAGUGGCGAAGGCGGCUCACUGGCCCGGUACUGACGCUGAGGUGCGAAAGCGUGGGGAGCAAACAGG
rnacentral:rRNA from 1 species